rnacentral:rRNA from 1 species
CAGUCGAGCGGAUGAAGGGAGCUUGCUCCUGGAUUCAGCGGCGGACGGGUGAGUAAUGCCUAGGAAUCUGCCUGGUAGUGGGGGAUAACGUCCGGAAACGGGCGCUAAUACCGCAUACGUCCUGAGGGAGAAAGUGGGGGAUCUUCGGACCUCACGCUAUCAGAUGAGCCUAGGUCGGAUUAGCUAGUUGGUGGGGUAAAGGCCUACCAAGGCGACGAUCCGUAACUGGUCUGAGAGGAUGAUCAGUCACACUGGAACUGAGACACGGUCCAGACUCCUACGGGAGGCAGCAGUGGGGAAUAUUGGACAAUGGGCGAAAGCCUGAUCCAGCCAUGCCGCGUGUGUGAAGAAGGUCUUCGGAUUGUAAAGCACUUUAAGUUGGGAGGAAGGGCAGUAAGUUAAUACCUUGCUGUUUUGACGUUACCAACAGAAUAAGCACCGGCUAACUUCGUGCCAGCAGCCGCGGUAAUACGAAGGGUGCAAGCGUUAAUCGGAAUUACUGGGCGUAAAGCGCGCGUAGGUGGUUCAGCAAGUUGGAUGUGAAAUCCCCGGGCUCAACCUGGGAACUGCAUCCAAAACUACUGAGCUAGAGUACGGUAGAGGGUGGUGGAAUU